UUAAACCAUCGAAAAUUGUAGAAUUUCUACAACCCAAACUUAACAAAACAAUAGUUUCAAAAUUUGCAUAUCUUAAGAAUAUGGCUUCUUCCCGUAUCAUCUGCUUUGCUCUUAUAUUUGCAGUUGCAUUGAUCUUAGUGCCUCAAGAUGUCUUAGCUGCCAAAAGAUGUCAAGACGUUUUGUAUAACACUGGGUGCUCUCUCAAUGAUUGUGGGAAGAAAUGUUGGGAGAAGCAUCAUACUAUUUCACAUCAAUGCAUUCCAACUAAUCCUUCUCAAACCAUAUAUGCGUGUUAUUGUUUCUUUGAUUGUGGUGAUCAAAAGAAUUGAUCUGCAUGCUGACCUCUCCCAAUUUUAUGUAAUGUACUUUAUCACUUAAACAUACAAAUAAUAUCACACAUCUUCCAUAA